rnacentral:misc_RNA from 1 species
AUAACAAGAAAAUACGAAGGCCGUUCGCGGCUGGACUAUUUAUUACCCUUGUCUUUUGCGCACUUGUUGUUUCCUGGGCGGGUUCGCUCGCCACCAGGACCACAAUAUAAACCUUUUUUAUGCAGUUGCAAUCAGCGUCAGUAUAACAAAUGUAAAUCAUUUACAACUUUCAACAACGGAUCUCUUGGUUCUGGCAUCGAUGAAGAACGCAGCGAAAUGCGAUACGUAGUGUGAAUUGCAGAAUUCAGUGAAUCAUCGAAUCUUUGAACGCACAUUGCGCCCUUUGGUAUUCCAAAGGGCAUGCCUGUUCGAGCGUCAUUUGUACCCUCAAGCUUUGCUUGGUGUUGGGCGUUUUUGUCUUUGGCCCGCCAAAGACUCGCCUUAAAAUGAUUGGCAGCCGGCCUACUGGUUUCGCAGCGCAGCACAUUUUUGCGCUUGCAAUCAGCAAAAGAGGACGGCAAUCCAUCAAGACUCCUUCUCACGUUUGACCUCGGAUCAGGUAGGGAUACCCGCUGAACUUAAGCAUAUCAAUAAGCCGGAGGAAAACCUGUAGAAUU